rnacentral:rRNA from 1 species
AAUCAACGCUGGCGGCGUGCCUCAGACAUGCAAGUCGAACGCGAAAGUCCCCUUCGGGGGACAAGUAGAGUGGCGCACGGGUGAGUAACACGUAGGUAAUCUACCUUUGGAUGGGGAAUAACAACCGGAAACGGUUGCUAAUACCGCAUAAUGCAGCGGCACCUAAUGGUGACAGUUGUUAAAGCGGGGGAUCGAAAGACCUCGCGUCUAAAGAGGAGCCUGCGGCGGAUUAGCUAGUUGGUAAGGAAUGGCUUACCAAGGCUACGAUCCGUAACCGGCCUGAGAGGGCGGUCGGUCACACUGACACUGACAUACGGGUCAGACUCCUACGGGAGGCAGCAGUCGGGAAUUUUGGGCAAUGGGACGAAAGCCUGACCCAGCAACGCCGCGU